AAUGACAUAGAUAUAGAAUCAAUAACUCUAAGCCCAGAGAUGAAAUUCUUGAGCCACACACCUUAUGAAGUGGCCUCAUAUAUAUGAAAAAGAACUUGG